UCACUUGUUUUUGCUGUAGGCUGGGGGGGCCGGGGUCACUUGCUCAGACCUGCCUUGGGCUCUCUCCCCAGGCACUGGCAAGGCGGAGGGGCACAGAGAGCACAAGCUGCACUGCAGUUCCCGAGGUGAAGCACCUCCACUUUGCACAGGGUGUCUGUGUGACCGUCAGGACCUAGAGUGACAAAGGUCCUGUAUUUCUUUCUGGGCUCGAUGCUGGCAGUGGCCCAGGCCAAUCACGGCUGUGCCCCGCUGACCCCUGGCCAAGCUGCCUGCAGAGCUGGGGCCCUGCUGACAACGUGGAUGCUGUCACCUGCCCAUCACUUUGGAGAGUUUUCUAAUAUUUGCCCCGCUAGCUGCUAAAACAAAAGAGGUGUGCCUGUUCCCUUGUGCACUCACGGGGAAGCACUGAACUCUGACGUAGUGCAGGAUGAGAGUGGGAUGCAUUAAACCCUGACCUCAGCCUUCUUGCGAUCACUGACCUUAGCUCGCUCCCGAGUCAAAUGCAUGUCUUGGAGAAGUCUGUUGCUGUAAUAAGUUAUUUAGAAGUGCCCAUCUGACUCCGUGCUGCUUUUUCAAGUCUCUGCUGUAGAACAAAGCUACAUCAUGGCAGCAAAAUGGCAAUUUUUAAGCACCAUACCGUAUUGCUGGGAUGAUGAGCACAAAAUACCGUAACAUUCGGGACAGAGUGAUUCCAAGUCUUUGCUUCAAUGUCUUCCAAUCAGGUAAAUCGUUUUCUAAAACUGCCUCUCUAAAGCAAGGCUGUGCAAUUGGAAAGCAGAGGCCAAUUUGGUUGCAGGUGUGUCAUAUUUGGGCAAAAGAAUUAAAGCUAUGCCAUUUGCACCAGCUCUGGAGGUUUGGGUGACCCCCUGGAAGUGCUCGUUCAUUUGGAGGUUGCAGCACCAUUUUUAGUUCUUAUUUAUCCUGCAGGAAAGCAAAGCCAGACCUCACUGCCAAGCUUCACAAAGGCUAGAUUGAUGAUGCCGACAUCGACAAAUGAACAUACCAUGGCAGCCUGGUCAUUCGGCUCAGGUUCACUUGAAGUUCAAAUCCACUCCAUGCUGUAGUACUAUGCCCAUCUCAUCCAUCUUUUGUCUUUCUAUUUUCUGCCUGUAAUUUGUUCUGUGGUUUUCUGUGGCAUCUGUUUAUAGCUUCUCCUGUGGCUUAGUGGACACUGCAGGUAGGUAGAGGCUGUCCACAGCGGUGCGUUCCUCAUGGCUUUGGGAUGAAGGAGCUGCAGAGCUGACGUUCCCUGUUACUGGUGGUGGAGGAGUGAGGGCUGCAGGCUGGUGCAGGGCAGAGCUCCAGGGGCAGUUCCUGCCGCCAGGAGAUGGGGAGACGACUGCCAGGAGCUCCUCCUUGUCAAUCCACGUCUUCCCGUGCCGAGGGCAGGGCUGACUGCGCAGCAGCUGAAGUGCUCAUUUGAGGAGAGGGUUCGGAUAGCUGCCGAGCCCCACAUUCAGUGAGGCACUCCCUGGGUAUGUCUCAGAAAAAUGGGCGCGUAGCUUCGAGUCCCUUCCUGUGAGAUUUAGCUUAGAGAGCAUCAGUAGAUAAAAUUGGUGCUUUAAUAUUUAUAGCAACAGUUAUGAUUGCUCAGCCUUCUUAGAGGUAGUGAGCUCAGCUUUCUCUUCAGUAACCUACAGGAAACACUGGAUAGCUCAAAACGCUGACAGGACAUGCAGCUGGGACAAGCCUCUAAGAAAUCUUCGGGAUAUAUUUGUAUAGUUGGUUCUCACUCUUCCCUCUCUUACACUUGGCUAGCAAAGCUGCUUCAGGGGUGCAUCUGCAAAGAAACUUGAGAGAUUAGUUUGAUCUUCACGGUGUGUUUCUGCACUGUGGCACUGCAAGGAUACCCUGUGCUGAAAGCACGAAUAGUGCAAAUGCAGUUCUUGUGGUACAAAUGCAAUAGAGGUGUUUUGAGCAAAGAGCUACAGCUGCUGAGAGCCAGCUGAGCUCUCAGACCUGCUAACCGAAGGCUGGAAAACUGGGCAUUUCCAAAGGGGAGAGGGCUCAGAGCCAGCGCUUGGAAGCACAGCGAGACACACUGUGGUUGACUGUAUGUGUCGUCCACUGAUUAUAGGAAGCUUUUUUAUUGCACCUCUGAAUUCCCAAGAUCUUGGGCAUCAGGUCAGCAUUUCCACAGGUAGGUUUUAUUUGCUGUUCCAUAACUUUUGUACUCACAGCAACUCAUUGCAAGGCUGGUCCUUGCAUCCUUGCAGCAAGUCCUCCCUGUUGGCAUGUGCCAUAGCCAGUACCAGCAUCUCUCUGCAUCUUACUCCCUCCCUGUCCAAAAGGCGACUGUGGUAGCAUUGGCCCAGGCAAUAAAUGUUCAGGGAGCCUGCUGUUGAUGUUGUCUGGCUGUGGAGAAGCCUUCUGGAGCAUAAGAGGAGGGGAUGAGUCAAUGGAAAGCAACAGAAUUGGAUUUGCAGAGCUUUACCAGAUAUGCUUGGCUACCUUGCCUCUAUUUCUAGAACAAGACUAGCCUCUAGGUAGCUUAAUCUUGUGGCUGAUGGAGAAAUUAGUUUGCCAAAUUAUCGUAUGUCUGCAACAGAGACAGAAAAGCAGCAGUGAGGGGUUUGCUUACUGUAAAAUACACCUUCUGAUGUGAAUUAAUAGUGACACGCUGCCUCCUGGAUUUCUCACGGCAAAGAGCAGGUAGCGUGCUGAGAUGACUCGUGGGCCAUCCAAGCCAGGCUGUGCUGUCUAAUGUAUUAACAAUGGAAAGGCAAGAAAUUAGUCCAGAAAGUAAUGUAGAGUGUGAACUUUGUGAUAAAAUUCAAGUGUGGACAGUUGUAGCAGGUGUCUUCCCUGUGGGAGCAUCUCGUAGCUGUAGUUACAUAGGAAUAAACUUCGUCAAACUUUUUUCCUUUGACUCACUGAGUUUGCCCGUGGUGUUUGUAGGAGAGGGUCCCCCAUGAGCCUCUUGUAUAGUAAGAGGUUGUUGGUAGUCUGUAGCUUUGGGCUUGUUUGGUUUCACACCUGCCCCUGCCCCCACUGGUUUCCUGAGCUCUUCAGACUGAACCCACACACCGCAGAGCCUGGAGAAAAUCCCGAUGUGGGCAUGACACGUGCCAGGUGGACGCUGGUGGCGAGGGCACGCGUCCGCAGGUCUGGGCACCUCUUCUUCAGUGGGGCCCUAAAAAUCUCUUAGGGGAGGGAAAAUGGGAUGCAGCACCUUUGGAGCUGGCCGGUCCCACGCUGGCCUUCCUCUCCCCACUGCCCUCGGGCGACACGGGGUCUGUCUCCCCAGGUCUUCCCUCCAGCCGCUCUCCCAAAGCAGCCCCCGGAGCAGCCAGUGACUGCUGCUCCCUGGCCGGGGUGGCAGCGGGCGCGUCCCGUGGGUGCUGGCAGAGCAGCUCACCAGCGAGCCGUUCUCACUCCUCCUGAAGGGCAUGCGUGUCUCGCUGCAUUCAAAUAAUUACCUCAGCCUUCGAGCCUUGACAAACAGACGGGAAUCUUUCCCAGCAGCGGGGCAGCCGAGCAGUGUCGGUGUUAGUUAUCCUGAGCCAUAAAACUCUGACAGCAUUGCAGUAGGGAGGGUGCUCCUCUGCUCAUGAAGAAGCUCAGUAAGGUGCUGCUCAAUUUAUUCAACACAGGGAAACCAAACAGUUUGGAUAUUCUGGUCGUUUAUUGUGAAAUUGUUUCCUAACAGCAACAGUUUUAAAUGUCAGCGUGCAAAUGGAAGAGAGAAACCUUUUAUGCAGUUGCAAAGUGUUUUCUAAGAUGCUAUGCAUUUUGUUGGGUUAUUGAAAGUGAAUUUACUGUGCAUUAAUCUUAUGAAUGUUACUAUGUUUUAUAUUUAUUUUAGAUGACCCUCCUGUAUUUUACAAAGGGAAGUUUCAUUGUGUGAUAACUUAGUCUGUAUUCUUAAUAUAAUUUGUUAAAUAAAACUUGUUUUAAUCAGUU